rnacentral:rRNA from 1 species
UACGGGGGGAGCAAGCGUUGUUCGGAUUUACUGGGCGUAAAGGGCGCGUAGGCGGUCAGCACAAGUCAGUUGUGAAAUCUCCGGGCUUAACUCGGAAAGGUCAACUGAUACUGUGCGACUAGAGUGCAGAAGGGGCAACUGGAAUUCUCGGUGUAGCGGUGAAAUGCGUAGAUAUCGUAAGGAAGACCAGUGGCGAAGGCGAGUCUCUGGACAGCAACUGACGCUGAGGCACGAAGGCCAGGGGAGCAAACGGG